rnacentral:rRNA from 1 species
UAAUAAUUUAAGGUCURACCUGCCCACUGAAAAGUUUAAAUGGCCGCAGUAAUUUGACUGUGCGAAGGUAGCAUAAUCAUUAGUUUUUUAAUUAAAAGCUUGUAUGAAUGGUUGGACGAGAUAAAAUCUGUCUUUGAKUAAAUUUUAGAAUUUAAUUUUUAAGUUAAAAAGCUUAAAUUUUUAUAAAAGACGAGAAGACCCUAUAGAUCUUUAUAGUAUUUAAUUUAUUUUUAAUUAGGAUUAUUUUAUUAUUUAAAUUUAAUAUUAUUUUAUUGGGGUAAUAUGAAGAUUAGUUAAAUUCUUUAUUAUAUUUUUUCAAUAAUUUUUGUUUAUUUGAUCCUUAAUUUAAGAUUAAAAGAUUAAGUUACCUUAGGGAUAACAGCGUAAUUUUUUUAAAGAGUUCAUAUCGAUAAAAAAGUUUGCGACCUCGAUGUUGGAUUAAAAAUAAUUCUAGGUGUAGAAGUUUAGAKUAUUGGUCUGUUCGACCAUUAUAUUUUUACAUGAUCUGAGUUCAGACCGGUGUAAGCCAGGUCGGUUUCUAUCUUUAUUUAAUUAAUAUAUUUUAGUACGAAAGGACCAAAUAUUUAUUAUAUUUAUAUUUAUUUUUUGAAUAAUA